rnacentral:tRNA from 1 species
ACAGUAGCUCAGCUGGAUAGAGCAACGGCCUUCUAAGCCGUGGGUCGGGGGUUCGAGUCCCUCCUGUCG